GUGUGUGUGUGUGUGUGUGUGUCUAUAGACACACACACACAUAUGUAUAUACAUGUAUAUAAUGUGUAUCAGAAUGUGUGUGUGUGUGUGAUAUAUUUGCAUGUUUUCUAAUGAUACAUUAUGAGAUUGAGCUGAAGUAUUGGAAACAUUCUCCCUUCUAAAUUUUGUUUGUUUGUGUUUAUGUGUGUGUGUGUGAGAGAGUGUUUUGGAGAUGUUCUUGAUUGGCAGGUGAUUUGAUUAGAGACCGUGUGUUAAAAGGAAAGCAAAUACACAUAUUAACCAUUUAAAGGCACACAAACAUUUACUAACUUGUGUCAAAACUUUUGUUCUACUAACUGACCGAAUUCUAUUGGGAAACUGUGACAAUUACCAGGUUGUAGUAAGUGUGACGAAAUUUUUGACAGCAAUUAAUAAAUGUUAAAGUUAACGGG
rnacentral:lncRNA from 1 species